GAAUACCUAUGUCUAACUCUCUCGGUUUUGGAAAUGUGAAUUGGGAGAUUGUUAGUUUGUUUGUGGGAAUUGUGUAAAAGUUAAAUAUAAUCUAGUUACCCAUUUGGAUAUCCAAAUGGGUACCAAAAGUAUCCUUAAUCCAAAGAGUUCUCGUCGGUUAUGGUUGCUACUUAAUCAACUUUCGUAUAGAUAUAAUAAGAAUAUAUUGAAUAUUGACUUAGAUUUAUUUAAUGAGAUUACUCAUUAUUUUAGAAAUAAAUUCGUUGACUCAGAAAAACCGAAUAUAAAAAUCGAUUUAUCAAUGCCUAGUAAAUUUCGCUUUAAAACAGACGACGUUAUUCAUGCACUAAAGACUCGUAACAAAUUCUAAAAAGGCCCAGAUGGUGUCCAAUGUAUUUAUUAUCAAAAAGUUAUUUCAUGUGAUAUCAAUCAUUUCUGCUUUUUAGAACGUUAGAAAAGUGUUCCUGCCCUAAAGUGUAGACUCACUCGUAUCUUAUUCCUAUACUUAAAAAAUCUAUAGAUACGUGUGACGCUUCAUCAUAUCGGCCUUUAAGUAUAUCUAAUUCUAUGCUUAAACUAAUUGAGAAGAAAAUGAUUCUCAUAUAUUUAGAAUUCAACAUCAAAAACAAUAUAAGUACAUCACUACGCAUCUAAAUAUCGAUCCAACACUUCUAAUUAAAUUGAAUUCACAUCUCAGUUUAAGUAUCUAAACAGUUUUCAUGUAAGUAUCUAAACAUGCUUCGAACAUGCUUUAUGCUUUGAGUUCAGCACGAAAAGAAUUUAUUUCAGUAUUAAGUAUUUUAAUAUCAUCAGCAUAUCCGAUGACUUCAGAAUUAGAAACAGAAAAAACGGGAUUGAUAU
rnacentral:lncRNA from 1 species